rnacentral:lncRNA from 1 species
GCAUUCCGCUGGGAAGCGGAGAAGGCGCAGCGGGUUCGGCCCCCUUCGCUGUGGCCACUGCGGCCCGUAGCUAAGGGGAGCGCGGCCGAGCUCGAAGCCGCGCCAUGGCCUCAGUGAGCUUUGAGGACGUGGCUGUGCACUUCACCCAGGACGAGUGGGCUUUGCUGGAUUCUUCCCAGAAGAGUCUGUACAGAGAUGUGAUGCUGGAGACCUGCAGGAGCCUCGCUACGAUAGGAUACAAAUGGGAAGACCAGAACUUGGAAGACCAUUGUAUAAAUCCUGGGAGAAAUCUGAGGUAAUAUACAUGCAGAGAUAGAAUCAACAAGCUUUUGAAGGAUUUUUUUUAAUUACUUUUUUUUAACAGUCCAGUCAUUAACCCCUCCUAGUCCAAUCUCCCACAGUUCCUCAUCCCAUUUCUCCCCCACUACCACCACCCUCAGCCCCAUCUUCAAGAGGAUGUCCCCACCCCACCCUCACCCUACCCCACCUCCCUACUUCCUGGGACCUCAAGUCGUUCCCCUCUCACUUGAUAACUUUUGGUUCAAAGUCUAUUUUAUUGGGUAAUAGGAUGGCAACUCCCACUUGUUUCUUGGGACCAUUUGCUCAGAAGUCUUUUUUCUAGCCUUUUACUCUGAGGUAGUGUCUGUCUUUGUCAUUGAGGUGUGUUUCUUGUAUGUGCUUGCGUAUCCAGUCUGUUAGCUUAUGUCUUUUUAUUGUGGAAUUGAGUCCAUUGAUGUUGAGAGAUAUUAAAGGCAGAUGAUUGUUAGUUCCUGUUAUGUUUGUUGUUGUAGGUGGCAUUAUUUCUUGGGGUUUUUUGUUUGUUUGUUUGUUUGUUUGUUUGUUUGUUUGUUUGUAGGGACCCUUCUUGUUUUGGAGUUUACCUUCUAUAAUCCUCUGUAGGGCUGGAUUGGUAGAUAGAUAUUGUUUAAAUUUGGUUUUGUCAUGGGAUAUUUGGUUUCUCAGUCUAUGUUGAUUGAGAGCUUUGCAGGGUAUAGUAGCCUGGGCUGGCAUUUGUGUUCCCUUAGGAUCUGCAUAACCUCUGUCCAGGCUCUUCUGGGUUUUAAGGUCUUUGUUGAGAAAUCUGGUUUAAUUCUGAUAGGUAUGCCUUCAUAUGUUACUUGGCCUUUUUCCCUUACAGCUUUUAAUAUUCUUUCUUUGUUCUGUGCAUUAUUCUGCUUAUUAUGUGAUGAAAGGAUUUUCUUUUCCAGUCUAAUCUGUUUGGUGUUCUAUAGGCUUCUUGUACAUUUAUGGCCAUCUCUUUCUUGAGGUUGGGGCCAUUUUCUUCUAUGAUUUUGUUUAAGACUUUUUCAGGUCCUUGAGCUGGGAAUCUUGGAGCUCUUCUAUUCCUAUUAUUCUUAGGUUUUGUCCUUUCAUUGAGUCCUGGAUUUCCUGGAUGUUUUGGGUUAUGAGUUUUUAUGUUUUGUAUUUUCUUUGACCAUUGUGUCAAUAUCUUCUAAGGUAUCUUCUAUGCUUGAGAUUCUUCUGUCUACUGUAUUCUGUUGUUGAUGCUUGCAUCUAUAGCUCCUGACCUCUUUCCUAGGUUUUCCAUCUCUAGGUUUGCCUCCAUUUGUGAUUUCUUUAUUGUUUUACUUCCAUUUUUAGGUCUUGGACUGCUUUGUUCAAUUCCUACACCUGUUUAAUUGUGUUUUUCUGUAUUUCUUUAAGGGAUUUAUUUGUUUCCUCUUUAAGGACUUCUACCUGUUUACCUUUGUUUUCCUGUCUUUCUUUCAUUAAGUUAUUUAUAUCCUUCUUAAAGGACUCUAUGAUCUUCAUGAGAAAGGAUUUUAGGUCAGCAUCCUGGUUUUCAGGUUUGUUGGUGUAUCCAGGGCUUGCUGUGGUAGGAGAACUGGGUUCUGAUGGUAUCAAAGUAUAUUGGCUUCUGUUACUUAUGGUCUUGCACUUGCCUCUCAUCAUCUGGCUAUCUCUGGUGUUAACUGGCCUGGGUAUCUCUGUCUAGAACCUGCCUCCUGGGUCUCUGGGUUGCUGCAGGUCUCCUGGGAGACCUGUGGCCCUGGCUGUAGCAGAUCUCCUGAGAGGCUUUCAUACUGUGGGGUCCAUUGCCCUGGGUGCAGCAGAUCACCUGGGAGACCUUCAGACUGUGGGGCCUUCAAAAGGUCAGACAAACUGAUAUCUGCCCCAGCAGUAGACACAGGCUGGAAAACAGGUGGAGUUUGAGCAAAGAGGAUGGGUCCCAAGUCCACUGGACUCCUCAUGGGGCUCCCAGCUGCUGCAGUUAUUUGGGAGGGUUCUUUGCCUGUUGCCUAGGGUGCAGCAGAUCUCCUGGAAAACCUUUAGACUGUAGGGUCUUCAGAGGGGCAGACAAGCUGAUGAUCUGCCCCAGUGGAAGGUGCAGGCUAGAAGGGCUUGAAGGAUCUUUUUAAACAUAUAAACAUUUAUUGAGAAGGGACAGGCUUUGUUUGCUCCAGCUUUCCUCCUGGCUGCUAAUAUGUUGCUCAAUUUUUCCAGCUUUGUCUUGCAUGGUGUGGAUGGGUCUACCCAUCCUCUUCAUAAUGAAUCUGAGCACUUUCUUAUUCAUGGAAACCUUGAGCAGUUCCAUGAAGAGAUGCUUAUAGGACACAAAUCCCUACCUCUCCUGAUAGUGUCCCACAUGAGCUUGGUGUAUUUGGCACCAGCUCUACCUCAGCUUGCUCUUGUCUUUUAUCACUUUGUUGUUCAUGGCUGCCAACUCCUUGUAGCUUGGGUUCAGGAACCCUGGCUAGGGGUGGUGAGGGAGCGAAGAAAGAACAGACACACAUUCAAUGAAACUGUGAUCAGGUAAUGUUCUCUAGCAGCUACUACCAGUACUGCUGCUUCAACCUGGAACCUUGGUGUCUGUUAGUUCUAGCACAGAGAGAGGUUAGCUAGUCUGGGUAGGAGAGCUCAGUGGGUGGACAAUCUCAGGCUGUAACUAUCUGGGAGGAGGAAGCUACAGCUGCUAGUCUUUAUACACAUCAGUCAGUUUUGCACAUACACACUUGGUCUCAGACUCCUAAAGAAAGCUUUGCCAAUCCCUCUUAAGUGUGUGUGGUGAGUAAUGGCUUCACCAAUUUACCAUGGGCCAGUUAGUCUUAGAACCCUCAACAAGUCAUGCCUUGUCAAAACACACAUCUCCUCAGGACUUCCUCACUCAGGGCUUCCUCCAUCCCAUGCACAUGCUCACAGGGUGUGAAGAAUUCUGUUGCUCUUCAGUGGUAACCAUGACAGAAGUCUUUAUAGGAAUUUUGAUGUGCUGUGAGAUUUUACAAAGAACCAAACUAAGCCAAUAAGCACUGUGUGAAUUUUUUCACUAGAACAUCUUUUACCAAAGCAACAGGAAUUGGUGCUAAAAUGUAAGCAUGCUGAUGAGUGUUACCAGAGCAUUUCACUUGGGAAUAUUCUAGACACUUGAACUGAUGAAUAUCACUUUUUUGAUACAAGCUCUAUGAGAGUCAGCAUAUAGGACAUCAGUCCAUUUAGCUUAUGACCACUCCAAUCUUGCAAAAGAUAUAAACUUGGUCUGAGUUUUAGAACUCUGUGUAACCUAGACCUAAUAAAAAGUCAGUAGUAAA